UUCCCAUCUCAGUCUCCUGAGUAGCUGGGAUCACAGUGCACACAGAGGAAAGGCCAUGUGAAGACAGAGAAAAGGCUGCCGUCUCCAGGCCGGGAAGAGAGGCCUCACCAGAAACCAAGUUGGACUUCUAGCAUCUAGAACUUGAGAAACUGGGAUGCUACUCCAGAAGAAGAAGAAUUAGUGCCUCUGUACAAAGGGAUCUUUGUGCUGCCAAAAGAGUAGAAAAGUUUAUCCCAGAACCAAAAAAUUUCAGAAUUGUGGAAAAGCAAGGUUUGGAAACCUACUCAAAAGAGAAGAAAUAUUGCUAUCAUAGAAUCCCUGAAUUAGUAUAUGCCUAGCUGCUAUAACAAAGAAGUUCAAAAACAUAAAUGACACUGUAAAAGAAGUUUAUUUCUUGUUCACAUAACUGUCCAAGGCUGCUGUUCCUGGGCACCUGGCAGUUCUCUUCCAUGCAAUGAUCCAAGGACACAGAGUUCUUCCAUCCUGUGACUCUACCAUCCCCGAGAGCCUGGAAAUUGAGAGUAAAGAGGGUACACCUGAUUCUUAACCAUCUUCACCUGGAAAUGACAUACAUCACAUUCACUCAUAUUCCAUUUGGAAGAACUAGUUCACAGCCCACCUGGGGAGAAGUGAAGGUUAGUUCAUGUAGCUGUGAAAUAGGAAGCCCGCUUCCUGGUGACAACUUCAUAUUAAAGGGGAAACACUAAUUUGGAAGGAUCAUGAGUUGUUUCCACCACAGUAUCCUACUCUGGCCCUAAAUAACCAGUAUACCCUUCUUCCCAAACAUAGAACAUAAUCAGACCUUUCCCAGGGGAGCCAACCCACAGUCAAGGAAUCAUUGCACUCAGCUCAUGGUCAGGGAUUUCUGAGCAAAGCGCUGUCCUACCUAAAGGUGUGUAUGUGACUCCUUGUGGUCUGGUGCUUAAAAAAAAAAUCAAAAGGCUAGUUAAGACUAGAUAACUCAUGUGUAUCAUAGUAUCAUGUGUAUUGUGGUAGGUUAACUAUAAUAAAUACUUUCAAUUGAAAAAAGAAAUGGAAGAAUCUCAGAGGUCAGGAAUCUAUAGCAAUGAUGAAAUUCUGCUGGAUAGACAUUUUGAAGAUCCCCUUCCCUGCUAAUGGCAGAAGUUUCUUAAUUAGACCCUGAUUUUGCUGUCUGAUAAGAACUAUCCAGCCAUUGUUAUUUUUUAUUAUUUUUAUU